AGUCAUUACAUGAGGGAGGUUGUGGAUUCAACUCUCACCUCCUUCACUAUAUACCUAAUUUUUAUAAAAUAUGUGUUAUAUAUGGGGUGCAGGUAGGGUAGGAUAAGGUAUACCCUAAACUCGUACCCUACCCUACCCGCAGGCAAACCCGAACCAAUUUCUACCCUACCCACAACGAGUCGGGUAGUCUACCCUACCUGAACGGGUUGAUUCGGGUUGGGUACUCGUAAGUAGGGUAUGUAUUGCCAGCCCUAGUGGUUGGUUGCUAAUUCGGUAGCUAAAGUUGUGGUCACUAAAUCGGUUGCUAAUUUUUAAAUUAGCGACCGAUUUUAUAACUAAUCAGUCGCAAAAGCAGCCACUAAGUUAAAAGAAAAAAAAAGAUAUUAUCUAAAUUACCCUCACUAACCCUAACUCACCCACACCAUUCUCAUAUUCUCCAAUCAGAUACCAUUGUCGUCUCCGAGCUCCGUUGUCGUCUUCUUCACCGCCGUCUUCUGCGUACGUCUCGCCGCCAUCUCUUGAGGUCUCCUCAUCGUCUUCUUCUGCAGUCUCAGUAUCGUCGCCUAUGUCAUUAAGAUCUCAGCGUCGUCUCCAAGCAGUGUAUUGGCUUGUUGAAAAAGUGAAAAUGGUAUUGGAUGGCAAUUGCACAUUUUGGUAGUACAUUUGCAACUCAAUGGGGAAUUCGUCCUCAGGUUUUCGUGAGAUCCAGCACGGUGAGCAAGACUACAUCAUCCAGCCACAAAGAUGAGAGUGUUAAGAUCACCUGAGGCUAGUGGAAGGUCACAAACAUUCAUUCCUUUUGGUGAACAAUGAAUUCAUGAGAAGGCAAUGAAAGACGCCUCACUGGAAAACAUUAAACUGCAGACAUCAACACCUUCUCUUGGAUUCACAAGGGAAUGAAAGAAAAGAUAUAGACAUAAAAAGGUUUAAGCAGGCUCUUUCUCAUGCGAAUUCACAUAUGAAGAGUUUUCCAUCUACUGCACAGGUUUGCAUUAUGUCACCACACUAGUAACCAAAUGCUUGUUAUUAAAGACUCAUUGAGUUUUUAAAGGUUUGGUUUGUUUAGGUUGCUGCCCAACAAUAAGGUACCUAUCUAGCUAGAUGCUUUAACCAUAUGGAUCAAUGUGAAGAGAAUCAUGAAGGUCCUCAGCGAUUUAGAGCAACCGGAUGUCAUAAGUUCCUUCUCUUCCAGUACACUUCAUAUUCUGUUGUGUUAUGGUUUUGUUUGUUUUGUGUUCCUAUUUAAAAAAAAAAGAGUUCAACACAAUAAAAUAGAGCUUACUAUAAACUAAGAAAACACAAAGAAAACAAAAACUUAAACAAAGUUACUCAACACCGUAUUCAACUAAUAACACAUACUCUACUCCCACAUUGCCACUAGCUAAUACAACACAAAAAGUUGAAUGAGAUACAAAAGAAAUAUAGUAGUGAGUAGUGUUUGCUUCAUAGUUAAAAGCAAGGGACACUUGGAAACAGUGCAAAACUUCCUAUCUAUGAAAAUUAUUUAUAUAUUAUAACUGAGUUAUAUAUAAAUACAGAAUUUCAUGUAAAUAUGAUUUCCCUUGGCACUUUCAUUUUCUUUUAGCCCUUUUCAAAUGCUCUCCUUAUUCUUUUUAAACUAAUUUUGCAGCCAUGAUUUCUAGUUUCUACUUUUUUGAUUUUUUUACAAAGAAUAAGCAAAUACAAUUGCUAAUCAAUGCUGGUGGACCUGAUAGGGUAUUGCGAGUUCAAAUGACCGAGGCUGUUGCACAGUUUAGAGGCUAUGACACCUCAAAAAUCAAAUAAGUGUCUACCUCGUUGAGAUUGUUAUUAGAGAGGUCCAACUUGCAAAUGGUGGCCAAGUUAAGAGAAGGGUUGGGAAGGGAGUCCAAAAACAUGCCACUGAGGUCCACAAUCUCAAGCCUCUCUUCCUCUAUGCCUCUGCUUUAGCUGCUGCUGCUGCUGCGGCCGCCGCUCUUUUCCACCUUCUUAAUCAUCGGUUGUUGUUGCACUUACAACAUCGUUAGAUAAUAAUAAGCACCAUCUUUUGUAAUAGUGACUGAUUUAGCUACCGAUUUUAGAUUUUUAGAUCAGACAUCACCGACUAAUUUUAUCAAUGACCGAUUUAGCGACCAAAAAUUUGGUCGCUAUUUAGCAACCGAUUUUCUCAGUGACAAAUUUAGUGACCGAUUUUAUUAGCAACCGAUUUAGCGACCAAUAUCGUUUGGUACUAGUUUGGUAGCAUUGGUUGAAAAUCGGUCGCUGUUAGCAACCGAAGUUAGUCGCUAUUUUUAACAUAGCGACAAAGGUUUUAGCGACCACCAAAAUUGAUUGCUAAAUCGAUCGCUAUUCUAGUAAUUUCUUGUAGUGAGUUCCAUUCCUCGUUGUGUGCGCAAGAUUAAUUAGGGUAAUAAAGAGGUUAACAUUAGUGAGCAAUUGGACUAGAAUUGUAUGAGUUUAUUACUGGGGUAGAAAGAAUGGGUUACUAUUUUUUUUUGUAACACAUGUAUAGUUAGCUCAUAAAAGGGAGGAUGAUGAAUGGUGGAGCUUUUCUACCUAAAAAACGUGCAAGUUGUAAUGCAACAUUUAUUUCAUUUUUUUUUUUUGUGAGAAGCAAA